rnacentral:rRNA from 2 species
GUGAGAAUCCCGUACGUGGUCGCCUGCCUUCGCCGUGUAAAGCCCCUUCGACGAGUCGAGUUGUUUGGGAAUGCAGCUCUAAAUGGGAGGUAAAUUUCUUCUAAAGCUAAAUACUGGCCAGAGACCGAUAGCGCACAAGUAGAGUGAUCGAAAGAUGAAAAGCACUUUGGAAAGAGAGUCAAACAGCACGUGAAAUUGUUGAAAGGGAAGCGCUUGCAGCCAGACUUGCCCGCAGUUGCUCAUCGGAACUUUUGCUCCGAGCACUCUUCUGCGGGCAGGCCAGCAUCAGUUUGGGCGACCGGAUAAAGGCCUCUGUCAUGUAUCUUCCUUCGGGAUGACCUUAUAGGGGAGGCGUAAUGCGGCCAGCCCGGAGUGAGGUCCGCGCAUCUGCUAGGAUGCUGGCGUAAUGGCUGUAAGCGGCCCGUCUUGAAACACGGACCAAGGAGUCUAACAUCUAUGCGAGUGUUUGGGUGUCAAGCCCGGGCGCGUAAUGAAAGUGAACGGAGGUGGGAACCCUCUCGCGGGGGUGCACCAUCGACCGAUCCUGAUGUCUUCGGAUGGAUUUGAGUAAGAGCAUAGCUGUUGGGACCCGAAAGAUGGUGAACUAUGCUUGAAUAGGGUGAAGCCAGAGGAAACUCUGGUGGAGGCUCGCAGCGGUUCUGACGUGCAAAUCGAUCGUCAAAUUUGGGCAUAGGGGCGAAAGACUAAUCGAACUAUCUAGUAGCUGGUUCCUGCCGAAGUUUCCCUCAGGAUAGCAGUAACGUAUUCAGUUUUAUGAGGUAAAGCGAAUGAU